rnacentral:rRNA from 1 species
GGUCAGCACACUGGGACUGAGACACUGCCCAGACUCCUACGGGAGGCUGCAGUCGAGGAUCAUUGGCAAUGCGCGAAAGCGUGACCAUGCGACGCUGCGUGGAGGAUGACGGCCUUCGGGUUGUAAACUCCUGUCAUCCGGGAACAAUUGACACGGGUUAAAUAUUCCCGAGAUUUGAUGGUACCGGAAAAGGAAGCCACGGCUAACUCUGUGCCAGCAGCCGCGGUAAGACAGAGGUGGCGAGCGUUGUUCGGAUUUACUGGGCGUAAAGGGUGUGUAGGCGGUUUCGUAUGUCGGAUGUGAAAUCUCACUGCUCAGCGGUGAAACUGCAUUCGAAACUGCGAAACUAGAGUGCAGGAGCGGAAAGCGGAAUUCUUGGUGUAGCGGUGGAAUGCGUUGAUAUCAAGAAGAACACCUGUGGCGAAGGCGGCUUUCUGGAACGCUACUGACGCUGAAACACGAAAGUUGGGGGAGCAAACAGGAUUAGAUACCCUGGUAGUCCCAACCGUAAACGGUGUACACUUGGUGUGGGGGGAUUUGACCCCCUCCGUGCCGUAGCUAACGCGAUAAGUGUACCGCCUGGGGAGUACGGCCGCAAGGCUAAAACUCAAAGAAAUUGACGGGUCCCCGCACAAGCGGAGGAGCAUGUGGCUUAAUUCGAUGCAACGCGAAGAACCUUACCAGGGCUUGACAUGCAGCUGCAUAUCCGUUGAAAGAUGGAUAGCCUUCGAGGGUGCUGCACAGGUGCUGCAUGGCUGUCGUCAGUUCGUGCCGUGAGGUGUUUGGUUAAGUCCAUCAACGGACGCAACCCUUGUGAUCUAGUUGCCACUGCAGGUGAUGAGCCUGCGAGCACUCUAGACAGACUGCCCGUGUAAGCGGGAGGAAGGUGGGGAUGACGUCAAGUCCGUAUGGCCUUUAUGCCCUGGGCUGCACACGUGCUACAAUGGCUGGUAUAAUGGGAUGCAAUACCGCGAGGUGGAGCAAAUCCCCAAAACCAGCCCCAGUUCGGAUUGGAGUCUGAAACUCGACUCCAUGAAGUUGGAUUCGCUAGUAAUGGCGCAUCAGCUACGGCGCCGUGAAUACGUUCCCGGGGAUUGUACACACCGCCCGUCACAUCAUGAAAGCUCUUUGCACCCGAAGUCGUUGAUCUAACUCGCUUCUAGUGAGAGGAAGGCGCCGAAGGUGUGGGGAGUGAUUGGGAUGAAGUCGUAACAAGGUA